AACAGAGUGGAGGCUGAAUUCCAGCCUCUGUUAGCUAUGCGCUCAUCACUUCCGGGGUCACGGGACUGGAACCGCUGAGCACAGCUUCUGAGAGGUGGCCAUGUUGCUUCUAGACCCCACGUCUCAGAAAGCAGAGAACUCUCCAUGCUAAAUUCACAGAACAGUGUGCUGAGGAUGGAUUACAAGGUGAGCGCUGGGCCAUCUUCAUCGCCACAUCUGUCCGUGACCAGCCUGGACCGAGCAGACUGAAGGAUAAGGGCUUUCUUGUUUCUAACAUUCUCGUGUCCUUGUUGGUAGGCGGGCCGCCUUUUUUCAUGGAGAGCUGAGCUUGGGUCACUGUCCACCUUCAUCUCAAGCUUCUAGGACCACCAAAGGUGCCACCGGUCAGCACCAGCAUCUCAACCACAUCCUGUUCAGGGCUCUGCGGUGAGACAGUUCCCUGGUUCGGAAGCAGUCCUCAACUCAGUUCUGCUGCCAGCACGAGCGUCAAGCGAGCGUCAUCGACUGCCAAGUCUUUGGCACCCCUGUAAUGCCGGCACUGUCCUGAUCGCUUUUCCAGAAAGCAAUCAACAAGUCUAGAGUCAUAAAUUUUUUUUUAACCUUUACUUCCUGUGGGAGCUGUCAUGUGCCACGGCCCUGAGUGUGGAGGUCAGAGGGCAAUUCGUGGGAGUUAAGGUGCUUUUGUUCUGUUUUGUUUUGUUUUUGGUGAGUCCCAUGGGAUUGAACUCAGGCUUUCAAACUUGGCUUCUAACACCUUGACAACUAAGCCAUCGCAUCAGCCCCCAGAGCUAAGAAAUUUAAAGCAGCUUCUUCCUUGCAAGUGAUAGGCUCUAGGCUAAGACCAUUCUCUUAGUGGAGUCAUCCUUGCCUCUGCUACACAGGCUUCUCCAUGACUACACCUGUAAGGUUUAUCAUGAGAGUCUGUGCUCGGGGUUGACCCACGGUACAAUUUUUCUUUCUGUGUCAAUUGGUUCUCCUUUGGAGAGCUGAUUUACCAACCUCCAGCAAGCUGCCUGUUCCUUUAGCCCAGCCUAAAAAGACUCUUGAAUAAGGCUAACCCUGGCCAGGCUGGCCUGGCCUUGCCCUUGACCUGGUCUGAACUUCCCAGCACUUUGGACCAGAACAGCCCCAGUCAUGCUCAAGUUCCUAAGGUCACAAGAAGAGAGUCACAAGCACAGAGCCGGGGAGGUCUUCCUUACUUGCUAUGUGUGAGUUUGUAUUCUCUCCUGGCUCGUACACCAUUAGCUUGCAAAGCUGUGUGAACAGAGAUCACGAAGCCUAGAGACCAAUUACAGGACCCUAACACCCUUCCCACCAACCCCAGCAGCAUUUCCUUGGAAGAUUCAUCAAAUUAAGCCCAGAGCUGCACUCUGGCUCCAUAUAGAACCGCUGUGGAACAAGAAUGAUUCACCAAACAACUUCUGCCUUUCUGUUUCGGGGGCUUCAUUUAACUGUUUUAUGUCUCAGAGUAAAGCUGUUAUAAUGACA